ensembl:lncRNA
CUGUAUGAUAUUUAUCAGGGUAUAGGGACGAGGCGGGUAGCUUGCCUCGUCACCUCUUCCCGUGCUCCAUUCUCCAUCCUCUAGCUGUCUUGUUUCUUCUCUUGUCUGUGUCUGCCCUCUCUCUCUGAAACUUUGCCCUUAGCUUAGGCGCAGCUCUCCCUCUUUCCCAAAGCACUGAUAACACAAGCCUGCUCCAUCUGGUGGCAAAUAAGGGUUUAUUAAAGACUUGGGGAUCAGGGGUCAAUAAGCACAAAACAAACCAUUUAAAUUAAACAUCAGGCAUACCAUCAUAUUUUAAUGAUGGCCCUGGCCAUCCUCAAGACAGCAGGUACAUUAGUAGCCACUUACCAGCUGUGCCUUGUAGGGGAGGAAGACAUUUCCUCUUCCCAAAUUGGGGUUCGUCUGGCCAGAGAACGAAUUAAAUUCACAUGAGACAGAAUAGCAAGAAAAAAUUAAACAAAGCUUUAUGAGGAACCAUGGCCCGGGGCCUUUCUUCCCGAAGGAAGAAAGGACACCGAAGAAGUGGGGUGCACAGAGUGGUUACAUACCCCCAAACAGGGUGUUUCACAUGUGAUUGAAAUGUCCCUCCCACAAUAGUCACAAGAUUGUCCUGUCGGCACAGCGCUUGAUGGACACAGCAGGCAGUGGGUCUGCUAUCUCCGUGGGCGUAGCAGGAGGCAAGUCUAUUGUCCGGAGCUGGGCGGUCACAGGUGAGCCGCAGCAAUCAGUUCCUAGCCUAAGGAAAGAUGCUUAAUCCUUAAAGAAAUGCCAACGUUGGGAGGGGGAGGGAAGUUAGUUACAGGAGGGUACCAGACAAGCACAAUAAAAUGCAGAUUUAAGUCCUUGCCUUUGGCAUUGAUUAAGAGUUUCUAGAGAGAAGGUCAUCUCCUUCUUCCUGGUACAGAGAGGGAGGCACCUUUUACAGAUAGAGAUUUACCUUACAAGUGUAAAUGUGUCCUAACAAAGGACAAAUUCCAUUCCUCCUUCCCUGUCCCAAUUUAUCAAAAGCAAUCAGCCUCAAAUAAUCCUGAUGCCAAAGAGACAUAUCUUGGGGUGGCCAAUUUCAGGUCCCUACAGCCUCCUUGGGUGAGUUACUUAACCCAUCUAUCAGUCUUAGUUUCCUCUCUGUAAAAUUGGGGUAUGAGUAAAUUGCCUCCCGGUUCCUGUGAGGACUGAAUCAGCAAUAUAUUUGAGUACUUAGAAUAGCUCCCGGCAUCGUAAAUGACACCAAUAGCUGCAGUAGUAGAAGGAGAAGGAGAAAGGAGAGGAGAUGUUGAGAAGAAGGAGAGGGGAGAAGGAAGAGGGAGAGAAGGGGGAGCAGGGGAGAGGCGGGGAAGUAGUCCUAUAUUCUAUCUCCUGCUUGCUGACAUAUUCCAGAGGUCCAUUUCCUCCCCACUGCAUCCCUUCUCCCAUCUAUUCCCUCCCUUGAAUUUAGAAUUCCAAGUCCCCAGCUGCAAAGGAAAACAGCCAGCAUUUCUGUUUCUCUACUAUGUAGAGCACUUUACCUUCCUUUUCCUCAAUCCCGCCCACUGGGUAUCAUCCUGGACCUUCUCUGAUUUCAUGUCCAAAAGAUUCCUAAACAAAGGACCCUCAGCUCUAGAGUCAGGAGCUCUGUCUUUGAAGAACUGACAGAAACUCUGAAGAUGGGGUUUUCUCUAAGCCAGUUGGAAGUCAAAGGACUUCUGCUCACCCCCCCACCGCAGGGGAAAGGCCAGCAGGCGUUUACUCCUCCCUUUCCAGAACAACCUAUCUGUAUUGCAGUUUCAAAAAAUUCUGUAUUCACCCUUUGGCACGUUCGUACCUGCAUUUAUUUAUUCAACAAAUAAUGUACUGAAUGUAUUUUGCACCAGACACUCUGCUAGGGAAUGGGGAGCAGACGUGUACCUGGAGCUCUCCGGAGCUUCCAGCUGAGUCCGGGAGUCAAUAAUUAAUCAAAUAAUCGCCUCUGUUAAAUUAAUUAAACAAGGAGGCCAUUAGACUGAGGGGGCUCUAACGCUGCAGUGGCAGUAAGCAAACCAAAAUGCAAGUUGUAAAUGCCUCAGGGUGACGAAACUGAAAGCUGAAGACAGCCGGUCACAAACAACCCCCUAGGCUUCAAGCUCGCGCCCAUGGACCAUUUCCUUUCUUGGCCUCCGCCCUUUCUCUAUAUAUAGUCUCUCCCCAGCUCGGUCUGCCCAACACUCCAAAACACUCCUGGCUUGGCGCUGCCCGAUUCCAAGGGGUUUUUGCUUAAAUAAAAUCUUAAAAAAUUUUAUAUGCCUCAGUUUACCUUUUAACACCAGAAAAGCAAUGCAAAAUUGCAGUAGUGAAAAGUGCUGCAAAGGAGAAAUAUUUGGAGCCAAAAGGGAACUCAAAACAGAGGUUGGACCUCAUCCGAGAGGUCAGGGAAGGUUUUCUCUGAGGAAAGGGUUGAGCCAAAGCCUGGAGCGGCCCCCUGGGGCUGUCCCGGGAGCAGCAGAGGGCACCCUGCCUGCAGGGCGAGCGCUCCAGGCGAGGGCGUUGACGUUGCUGCCCGCACACGCGCACGCGGGGCAGCAGGUGGGAAGGAGAGCAGAGCUGGGGAGCGGCGCCGCUGCAGGCCGGAUCCCUCCAAGAAUUCUGCCCGAAUCAGCUCAGCGUGGGCAAAAAGGCAAGCUGAGGCAGCAGGGCCUUCCCCAGUCCCGUGACCGUGGAGGGUUGCACAAAAGUGGUGUGACCAGCCCGAAUACCCAAACCGCCGUGCAGUACGUGCACGCACAUGCUAAGCUCACAAACAUAGAUACAUUCUCCCUGACACUGUGGAGAAAGGGCCGCGCCCACGUGCGUCAUGCCAAGGGGAGGCUUCUGUACCAGACCGAGACGCUUCAUGGACUUCCCCAGAGCUGACUGGACAGAUUCCUCGCAGCCCACUCCAUCAGGAAAACGUCCUUUAACUAACUCCUCCCUUGUGCUCCCACAGCACUUGGUCUGUCGAUGCACUUACCUCGUGGCAUUUAAUAGUUUGUUGAUGUCUCUCUGUUUCCUAGAAGGUUGACAGGCAGUGUAAUCUCAGUGUUUCACCCUUCUGUGCUGUUACAUAUUCAGUGUUGCUAAGAACAACACUUUCCCUUAAAAACAGAAUCUUGAUACUGGAGAGGAAGAAGACAGUUCCUCUGCCCUCUAGGUCCUUGUGCUGGUCUAGGAAUUAAAGUGACAUGAAACAGAAUAACAGGAGAAAAAUCAAACACAGCUUUAUAACAUGCAUACAUGGGAGACACCCAGGAAAACUGAGCGACUGGACAGAAUGGCGGAAGCUGCCACCUUAACUACCAUCUUCAGCUGAGGACAAAGAAGGAUGUCUUGGGUGGUAGUUUGGGCCUUCAAAGGGGAGGAAAGCAAUUCACAUGGAGAUGGAAAAGCAAAUGUUUGGUAGACAGAACUUUGAUAAGAGUGGGCUUAGCAAGGAUCAUCUCAGUCUAUGGAUACCCAGAGUUAUCCAUAGUGAUGGCCUGUCCUGGGGACGGGCCUUUAUCUUAAAUUCUUUUAGGCAGUUAGGGCGAAGGUCAAAGUUUCUUUCAGCAUCUUUUGUUCUCAAAAAUAAUCAAGGCAAAGAGACACAUUUUGGGCUAGCCAAUUCUGAUCCCCCGCAAUACCAUGGCUGCUUUGCAGGCCAGGCAGGAAUAUUGCGUUGGAGGGAGUAACCCAAAUAUUAAAGUAUGAUGUCCAUGCUAUGUGUAUUGGUACUGCAUUAAGAGGCUACCAAUUCUUAGUAAAAUCAGCUUCUCCCCCUUUGCCUCCCCUUAUUUAAAUCUCUGCGGUAUUAGGCAGAUCAAGAUGACCAGUAAGAAUACACCGUUAAUUUUGCAACUGAGGUUAAGUGAAAAUAAGUGUGGUAAAGAAAUAAAGCUUUAGAACAACAGGUCUUUGGGGUGAUCUAGAAACAUAUUUGAAAUGAACUAAUUAAAUAUUAACCUUAUCUGAGGAUGUUAACCUAAAAAUAUGGAAGAAACGUUCAUAAAAAUUCAGUGAUCUGAAUUCUUAAUUUGCAAAAUUAAAUGUCAUGUUCAAUUUUGUUUUUUACACAAACAUGAAUAUUGACAUUAUCCGUAACAGCAGAAAGAACUGGCAAUCAUACAGUGCUUCGAGGCUUGUGUGACAUGGCAGAAUUUCAGUUUCCGUUAAGUAAACAACAAAUGACUUUAAAAAUUAAACACAGAGCUGAAUUUUUCAUCAAGAACUGAUUUACUAAGUGCCUGCACCGUUUCUUCCUAGAAUGUACAGAAAGUGACCCCUUGUGGAAUUCUGACGAAGUCUUUCUCCAGUGUUUUUCGAUUGCUGUCUAGAUGCUUCGGGUCUGCUGUGUGCAUCAUGCUCAGCUGUGGGGACAAAGACAUGACUGGAAAGUGGGGUUUGGUAUGGCUGAGAGGCAAACAGCUAUAGAAAAGACUGAGCAGAGCUGUGAGAGGGAAAGUUGGAAGUGGUGUAUCUGGCAAGGGGCUGGGGGAGAGAUGGCUGGGCGGCUGCACAGGGGAGGGUAGAAGUGGAGACGAGAUCCAGAAAGAGAUUCUGGAGCAGUAUGGCACCUUCUGGAAACUGUCGGUGGUUUCCUUUGGCGAGGCAGAGCACUUACAGGCGAGAGUGGAUAAGGUGGAAAAGUAGGCAAGGACCCUUAUCCUACUCGACAGUGUCCCCAAACUGUGUUCCUCAGAUAUUAACAGAGUCGCACAAAUACUGCACAAAACCACACUGAGAAUAUCAGGAUGAAUGGGGCCUUGCGCAGGCAUGGGAGACUCCUUAAAAUGGGCCUCUUCAAUCCGCAGACCUCAGAAAGACCAGGUCAGGGAGAAUAGAGGAUGAGUCGAGUCAGGAAGUAAACAUACUUCCUAGGCAUGAGAGGAGUGGAGAUCGUGCAGCUGGCCCAGAUGCUGCGAAUAUGGACAGAGGGAGGUGCCAGUGGGACGAAAAAAGGUCCUAGUUAACACUACCAGCUGCUGGGAGGCAGCCUGUGCAGGUGAGAUCCUACAAAUGCCCACAGGGCCUGGGUAGCAGUUACCUUUAAAUAACAUCACUUGAGCAGCACCAGGAUCAUUACCGUUUACUGAGUCAUUUAUACAUGCCGGGAACUGUGCUUUUUCUGUGUUAUUUUAAUCCUCACAAUAAGCCCACUGUGUAUAUUUAUUAUUAGUCUCAUGUGCAGAUGAGGAAACAGCCUUGCAGAGGUUAACUGGUCUGCCCCAAGUCCAUCAGCUAGCCAGCGAGUGGCUGCUCCAUGCUGCUCUGGUCCAGUGGGCCUGGAAGCCAGCACCGUGGAGUCAUCAGAAAGCAGAGGGUGGUUAGAGCCAGGAUAGCAAAUGAGUUCCUGGAGGGGGGUUGCGAGAGGGGGGAGGGAGAGGGCCCAGGCGGAAGCCCAGAGGAUGCCAACGUCUGAGGGACGGUAGAGGAGGAGGGGAAAGCAGAGAGGGAGAGGGAGGGAGGGGUCAAAAAGGCAGAAAGAUAACCAAGAGAGAGCCAUAUCCCGGAAGGGAGAGAGAGCGAGCCAGCGCCUCCCCAGAAGCGGGUAGAAUUCAACGACGACGUCAGACACUGCGGAGAAAUCAAGUGUGGAAAGUCUAAGAGUUGAUCACGAUCACGAGGGUUGGCAGUUGGGAGGCCACUGAUUAUCUGAGAGAGAAACCUUAGUGGAAAGGAGGGCAAACCCUUCACUGAAGGAGCUGAGGAACGCAGGGAAGAGGCAGCAGCGAGGUAGGCAGCGCGAGAAGGGCGUGAAACCUGCUUCUCAGAGAGCCCGGCUGAAAGGAGCGGGACACCAGAGAGGAUGCCAGUGAAGAAGGGGCCUUCGCCCUGAGUACUGAAGAUGUAUUCUAUGAAGGGUUCUAUGUUGGGCAGAAGCGGGCACGGAAAAUAAGAGGUGGAAGGUAAAGUGGAAAGGAUAAGUGACAGUGAGGAGAGAAAGGGAUCCGGAGCACAGAAGAGAAGGGCCGAGAAGAGAGGCAGAGGAAAGGAGGGGAGGAGGGGAGGCACGCUCCUGGGUCUGUCCUCAGCAGAGGACGAGGGGUGAAGCCCAGCGCCUGCCUUGUCCCUCUGAGUAGAAAUCGGGGACAGCGGCUCCGAGUCAGAGGACAGAAGAGAAGGAGGCUCGAGGAGAAGCCUUCUGACAACUGCUGUUGGGUACGGCGGUGGCAGACGACCUGAGACCAGCACACAGACAGCAAGGCAGCAGAGGGGGGCCGGCUGAUGCGGAGACCGUGGGUGUGCAGUGGCACACGUCAGCCUGGCGGAGACCGUGGGUGUGCAGUGGCACACGUCAGCACGGCCAUGCACCUGACUUUCCAGGGCUUGGGCACAGGAGCAGAGGACGCAGAUCACAGGAACUAGAGAGGAGCCAAACCGCUGUUUGCAAAUCAGUCGUUUCCUAUUUUUCUGCCAUAUCUGAGAAGAAACUGACGAUGCUGCCAAGAUUUUUGAAAAAGGGAAGUGAAGCCUGGAGAUGGGGGGUGGGGACAGUGUCCCGUAGACUGACAGAAAAGGGAGAAAUUGCCAGUCCGAAGAUCUUGAUGCUGGGUAAAAGGUGGAGAAACUGAGGCUCAGAGACAGCAGCUAACUUGCGCAGUGUCAGGCAGCUGGUGGAUCCGCCCCACAGCUUGUUCAACAAUCACAAGGCCGGGAUUGAGAGGCUGAGGGUUGAGUAAUGAAAGGAUGGGGGCAGCGGACUCAGGAGGGAGCUGUUCUCCUAGACUGGGUUGGAGGGUCGGUGAGAUGGCGAGCUGGAUGGAGACGGUCUGACACAUGAGUGAUGGUUACUGCACCAUGGUGGCUUGGAGUGGGGAUAAAGAUACCAGCCGAAGGAGGAAACUGCAUAUACAGAGCAAGAGUGCUGAGGACGGAGAGUGAAAUAGCCAGAUUGCAUGACAUUGGUAACAUUUUGGUACAGGGCUGGGUGAGGCUGACUAUGUGAUUUGUAGGGCCCAGUGAAAAUGAAAAUGUGGGGGCCUUCGUUCAAAUAUACUGCUGUUAAAGGUACUAAAAUAUAAAAAGACUUUCCUUUUUUCUACGGCCUAUCUCUUGACCUGUCGUGGUGUUUUUAUUUGCUGUUUCAUGUCAUGGUCCCUUGGGCACAGGGACACUUGCAGAGUCCAUGCAGACCCUGACAGCCGCCCAGUGGGGGCUCUGUCCCGUGACUCAGUAUGAGGCCUACUGACUUCCGAGUUCCACCUCCCCUGAUAUGCUGCACCCCAGCUGGAUGCAAAUGAACCGGUCUCCCCUUCCCACAGCCCACCACCCCAACCCAGAGCAGAAGGAACAACAACUCGCACACCAGGACAUACUUGGUCCGGGGAGGGCAAGAGGGUCACCCUGCCACGUGCCCACCAGACAGACACACUGUGGCACUGCCAGCUGGAAAUAGGGAUGGUGCUGCCACGCCCUACCUGAAGAUGCCAGGGCGAUGAUGUGUACCCAACCUCAGCCCUGCCUGCCCCUGCUCUAGUUCCCUGCCUGGGACAGAGGGCAACAGUGGGACCCGCUGGACUUGCUCUGCUGACAGGACCCAGUCAGCCUCAGGGAGGCGACAGGAAGGGGCAGACUGGGUGGGACCCAGGGUGCUGAGGGCAGGGGAAGCAGGAGGCCAACACACCAACCAGGGAAGGAGGGGAGACAGUGGGAAGUGGGACCCCACAUGAGCCAGGGCUCCAAGCCCCUUGAGCAUGCUCCACUAGGCACCAGACUCACUGAUGGCACACAAAUUAAAAGGUGAACUUGUCAUAUUAGUUUGCUAGGGCUGCUGUAACAAAGUAUCACAGGUGGCGCGGCUUAAACAACUGAAAUUUAUUUCCUCACAUUUCUGGAGGCUGGAAGUCCUAGAUGAAGACGUCGCUUGCAUCUUGGUUUCAUCAGAGGCCUCUAUCCUUGUAGACGGCCAUCAGGUCUUUCCUCUCUGUCUGUAUGUAUCCUAAUCUCGUCUUCUUAUAAGGACACCAGCCAUAUCGGAUUAGGACCCACCCCAGUGACCUCAUUUAACCUUAAUUACCUCUCUAAAGACCCUGUCUUCAAGUACAGCCACGUUCUGAGGUACUGAGGGUUAGGACUGCAACAUAUGGAUUGUGGGAGGACACAAUUCAGCCCAUAUCAAUUUUUAAGAGUUUCAAGAUGAAAAUUGCAGAGCAUUAAACCCCAAGCACAGGCACGUCUGUGCAUGGGACCCCGUGAGCCUGCACUGGACACGUGCCCAUGAAGCCAGCCCUGGGCAGGGAGUUCAGUGGUGUAGGAGCAGCAGUGUGGAGCUAGAAGGAUCGGCUCUCCUCCUAGAGCUGCAAGUGCCAGGCUCAUGGAGGAAUGAGCACCUUCAUUGGACGGAAUUGUAAAGGAAGCAAGGCGACAUUCUUGGUGAGAGCCAGGGUUUGCUAAGUAACGGGAAGAGUGACAAUGUCUUCGAGCAGGCGGAGAAUGAAAAGAAGUUUCUUCAAAAGCAAAGGAGCAUUCCACGAGACAGAGCAGAAGGGUCUGGGAGGGAGGUCAGCAGUGAGUGAAUAAACCCUGGAGGGAAGAGAAGCAUAUGAGGAUGAGAACAUGAGAAAGAGGACACACCGGACGACUUCCCGUCUCAUUGCUUUCGGUCAUGCUGCUUUUAAAUUCCCUGAAUUUAGCAAUUAAAUUAAAUUGAAUUGAAUUGUAGUUAAAUAUUAACAUUCCUUGGGCUAACUUCUGCUGCAUCUCACAUACGAACCUGCUAUUAUUGAUUGGCCAGUGCAAGGAUAUUUCAUGCUGAGCUACCGCUGUUCUCUCGUGGUCUCCGUUCCAAUCACGCAGCAUUUGCAGAGGAUGGACUGGGAAGGGGUACCUUCUGCAGCUUUAGUAGACGGCCUGCUCUCCCACACUGGAAACAAAAUCGUAAUUGUUAUCACGUCACUGUAGUACUCUAACAAAUUAAGCUUGGUUCCUUGAAUAUUUGCUUGGGGGUCAUUAUUCUCAAUAUCUUAUUAUAGUCACUCCCAGAGAACAACAAAAAAGCC